rnacentral:rRNA from 1 species
GACGAACGCUGGCGGCGUGCCUAAUACAUGCAAGUAGAACGCUGAAGAGAGGAGCUUGCUCUUCUUGGAUGAGUUGCGAACGGGUGAGUAACGCGUAGGUAACCUGCCUGGUAGCGGGGGAUAACUAUUGGAAACGAUAGCUAAUACCGCAUGAUAUUAAUUAUCGCAUGAUAAUUAAUUGAAAGAUGCAAUUGCGUCACUACCAGAUGGACCUGCGUUGUAUUAGCUAGUUGGUGAGGUAACGGCUCACCAAGGCGACGAUACAUAGCCGACCUGAGAGGGUGAUCGGCCACACUGGGACUGAGACACGGCCCAGACUCCUACGGGAGGCAGCAGUAGGGAAUCUUCGGCAAUGGGGGGAACCCUGACCGAGCAACGCCGCGUGAGUGAAGAAGGUUUUCGGAUCGUAAAGCUCUGUUGUAAGAGAAGAACGGGUGUGAGAGUGGAAAGUUCACACUGGACGUAUCUACCAGAAAGGACG